GACGAACGCUGGCGGCGUGCUUAACACAUGCAAGUCGAACGGAAAGGCCCUGCUUUUGUGGGUUGCUCGAGUGGCGAACGGGUGAGUAACACGUGAGUAACCUGCCCUUGACUUUGGGAUAACUUCAGGAAACUGGGGCUAAUACCGGAUAGGAUCUCCUGCUGCAUGGUGGGGGUUGGAAAGUUUCGGCGGUUGGGGAUGGACUCGCGGCUUAUCAGCUUGUUGGUGGGGUAGUGGCUUACCAAGGCUUUGACGGGUAGCCGGCCUGAGAGGGUGACCGGCCACAUUGGGACUGAGAUACGGACCAGACUCCUACGGGAGGCAGCAGUGGAGAAUAUUGCACAAUGGGCGGAAGCCUGAUGCAGCAACGCCGCGUGCGGGAUGACGGCCUUCGGGUUGUAAACCGCUUUCGCCUGUGACGAAGCGUGAGUGACGGUAAUGGGUAAAGAAGCACCGGCUAACUACGUG
rnacentral:rRNA from 1 species